UGAAAUAUACGUGUGACUUAGUAUACACUACACAUUAUAGUUGCUGAAUUCAAGUCUUAAAGUUGUUGGAACUAUUUUGUGGCCCCCAAAAUAGUUCUCCUCAUAUGUCCGAACCACUCAAACCUUAUUUCCCACAUUUUAUCUUUCACGAGGACCACUAUCUACUCCUACUUUGGCUGCAUCGGCGGAGCUACUCUUUAGUCAGGAGUUCAUCCGAACCCAACUCGGC
rnacentral:lncRNA from 1 species